rnacentral:rRNA from 1 species
CAUAGGUUAAUGAGGCGAACCGGGGGAACUGAAACAUCUAAGUACCCCGAGGAAAAGAAAUCAACCGAGAUUCCCCCAGUAGCGGCGAGCGAACGGGGAGGAGCCCAGAGCCUGAAUCAGUGUGUGUGUUAGUGGAAGCGUCUGGAAAGGCGCGCGAUACAGGGUGACAGCCCCGUACACAAAAAUGCACAUACUGUGAGCUCGAUGAGUAGGGCGGGACACGUGGUAUCCUGUCUGAAUAUGGGGGGACCAUCCUCCAAGGCUAAAUACUCCUGACUGACCGAUAGUGAACCAGUACCGUGAGGGAAAGGCGAAAAGAACCCCGGCGAGGGGAGUGAAAAAGAACCUGAAACCGUGUACGUACAAGCAGUGGGAGCCUCUUAAUGGGGUGACUGCGUACCUUUUGUAUAAUGGGUCAGCGACUUAUAUUCUGUAGCAAGGUUAACCGAAUAGGGGAGCCGAAGGGAAACCGAGUCUUAACUGGGCGUUAAGUUGCAGGGUAUAGACCCGAAACCCGGUGAUCUAGCCAUGGGCAGGUUGAAGGUUGGGUAACACUAACUGGAGGACCGAACCGACUAAUGUUGAAAAAUUAGCGGAUGACUUGUGGCUGGGGGUGAAAGGCCAAUCAAACCGGGAGAUAGCUGGUUCUCCCCGAAAGCUAUUUAGGUAGCGCCUCGUGAAUUCAUCUCCGGGGGUAGAGCACUGUUUCGGCAAGGGGGUCAUCCCGACUUACCAACCCGAUGCAAACUGCGAAUACCGGAGAAUGUUAUCACGGGAGACACACGGCGGGUGCUAACGUCCGUCGUGAAGAGGGAAACAACCCAGACCGCCAGCUAAGGUCCCAAAGUCAUGGUUAAGUGGGAAACGAUGUGGGAAGGCCCAGACAGCCAGGAUGUUGGCUUAGAAGCAGCCAUCAUUUAAAGAAAGCGUAAUAGCUCACUGGUCGAGUCGGCCUGCGCGGAAGAUGUAACGGGGCUAAACCAUGCACCGAAGCUGCGGCAGCGACGCUUAUGCGUUGUUGGGUAGGGGAGCGUUCUGUAAGCCUGUGAAGGUGGCCUGUGAGGGUUGCUGGAGGUAUCAGAAGUGCGAAUGCUGACAUAAGUAACGAUAAAGCGGGUGAAAAGCCCGCUCGCCGGAAGACCAAGGGUUCCUGUCCAACGUUAAUCGGGGCAGGGUGAGUCGACCCCUAAGGCGAGGCCGAAAGGCGUAGUCGAUGGGAAACAGGUUAAUAUUCCUGUACUUGGUGUUACUGCGAAGGGGGGACGGAGAAGGCUAUGUUGGCCGGGCGACGGUUGUCCCGGUUUAAGCGUGUAGGCUGGUUUUCCAGGCAAAUCCGGAAAAUCAAGGCUGAGGCGUGAUGACGAGGCACUACGGUGCUGAAGCGACAAAUGCCCUGCUUCCAGGAAAAGCCUCUAAGCAUCAGGUAACAUCAAAUCGUACCCCAAACCGACACAGGUGGUCAGGUAGAGAAUACCAAGGCGCUUGAGAGAACUCGGGUGAAGGAACUAGGCAAAAUGGUGCCGUAACUUCGGGAGAAGGCACGCUGAUAUGUAGGUGAAGCGACUUGCUCGUGGAGCUGAAAUCAGUCGAAGAUACCAGCUGGCUGCAACUGUUUAUUAAAAACACAGCACUGUGCAAACACGAAAGUGGACGUAUACGGUGUGACGCCUGCCCGGUGCCGGAAGGUUAAUUGAUGGGGUUAGCGGUAACGCGAAGCUCUUGAUCGAAGCCCCGGUAAACGGCGGCCGUAACUAUAACGGUCCUAAGGUAGCGAAAUUCCUUGUCGGGUAAGUUCCGACCUGCACGAAUGGCGUAAUGAUGGCCAGGCUGUCUCCACCCGAGACUCAGUGAAAUUGAACUCGCUGUGAAGAUGCAGUGUACCCGCGGCAAGACGGAAAGACCCCGUGAACCUUUACUAUAGCUUGACACUGAACAUUGAGCCUUGAUGUGUAGGAUAGGUGGGAGGCUUUGAAGUGUGGACGCCAGUCUGCAUGGAGCCGACCUUGAAAUACCACCCUUUAAUGUUUGAUGUUCUAACGUGGGCCCCUUACCGGGGUUGCGGACAGUGUCUGGUGGGUAGUUUGACUGGGGCGGUCUCCUCCUAAAGAGUAACGGAGGAGCACGAAGGUUGGCUAAUCCUGGUCGGACAUCAGGAGGUUAGUGCAAUGGCAUAAGCCAGCUUGACUGCGAGCGUGACGGCGCGAGCAGGUGCGAAAGCAGGUCAUAGUGAUCCGGUGGUUCUGAAUGGAAGGGCCAUCGCUCAACGGAUAAAAGGUACUCCGGGGAUAACAGGCUGAUACCGCCCAAGAGUUCAUAUCGACGGCGGUGUUUGGCACCUCGAUGUCGGCUCAUCACAUCCUGGGGCUGAAGUAGGUCCCAAGGGUAUGGCUGUUCGCCAUUUAAAGUGGUACGCGAGCUGGGUUUAGAACGUCGUGAGACAGUUCGGUCCCUAUCUGCCGUGGGCGCUGGAGAACUGAGGGGGGCUGCUCCUAGUACGAGAGGACCGGAGUGGACGCAUCACUGGUGUUCGGGUUGUCAUGCCAAUGGCACUGCCCGGUAGCUAAAUGCGGAAGAGAUAAGUGCUGAAAGCAUCUAAGCACGAAACUUGCCCCGAGAUGAGUUCUCCCUGACUCCUUGAGAGUCCUGAAGGAACGUUGAAGACGACGACGUUGAUAGGCCGGGUGUGUAAGCGCAGCGAUGCGUUGAGCUAACCGGUACUAAUGAACCGUGAGG